GCAGGUCGCUUAUUCAAAUAGAAUCAUCGUAACGCAAGAUAAGGCCGACUUCUAUUUUGCGGGUUACCACUACGACGACUAUUAUUUCGACGAUUACUACUACGACGACUACUAUUACGACAAUUAAUGAGAAAAUAAACAAUACAGAAGUUGCUUGUUAUUAAAAAUAACAUAUCAUGCAUACAUA